GCAAUGAUGACACUGAUGGUUUGAAUGCAGAUAUGAGAAUACCUGUACUACCUCUAAGAAGUCCUGAGCUU